UACGAGGGGGGCGAGCGUUGUUCGGAAUUAUUGGGCGUAAAGGGCGCGUAGGCGGUGCGGUAAGUCACCUGUGAAAACUCUGGGCUCAACUCAGAGCCUGCAGGCGAAACUGCCGUGCUGGAGUGUGGGAGAGGUGCGUGGAAUUUCCGGUGUAGCGGUGAAAUGCGUAGAUAUCGGGAGGAACACCUGUGGCGAAAGCGGCGCACUGGACCACAACUGACGCUGAGGCGCGAAAGCUAGGGGAGCAAACAGG
rnacentral:rRNA from 1 species